UUUGAAGUGAUAAACAAAACUUAAAACCUUCAUUAAUGAAGAUGAUGAAGUUAUCUGUAGCACUUUUGGCAAUCCUCAUGCUAUUUGACCCAUUUCGUGGUAAACAUGUUUAGAGAUCUUCUUGGUUACAUUAACAUGUGGCUGGCUUCUUGAAGUCAAAAAUCUUGAUUUAGAGGUGUUUUGCUAAGUUUAUUUAUAAAAAGCUUAUUAGCUUAUUAACGGUUCCACACCGCUAUAAGCUAAGAAAAUGUUUGGAUAAAAAUAACUUAUUGCGGUGGGAAACCGCUCAUAAGUUAUUUUUUCAUAAGUAACUUCACUCUAACUUAUUAGCUUAUAAGCUAAUAAGAUAAUAAGCAAUAAACUUUUUUUGCCAAACACCCCCUUAGAAUUUCAAAAUUUAUCUAUUUUCUGUAAAAAUCAUGACAACAUUGCACAUCCUAUUCUAUGUUUAGUAUAUCUUAUGAGAUACUGUUAAAAAAUUAAACAGCUUUUAUACUAAUGUGUAUCAAAUUUCAUGGCCAGUUUUUCUAUAUGUUUGACCUUGAAAAGUAACUUAUGGGUUAAGGGGUUUUUAAGGUCAAACAUGUCGCAUUACGAAAUAAAAUGUGAUAUGGUUCAUUUACAAUAAAGCCAAUGUUUCUCUCUUGUAAAUUUAGUGUAUGGUGGUAUAUUUCAAUAAAGAAAUUACAAAGAUAUAUAGAAUGUGUAUACAAGUUUGAAACAGUCUAGUUCAUGAUCACAUCAAUAUAUAUUUUUCUAUAUGUCAUGUAUUUAGUAUAUAUUUUGAUAUAUUUCUUUUAAAAAAAAACUAAAAGAAAACUAAGGCAUGCAUACUGGUUUUGUGAACGAAAUUUUGAACUUUGGCCUUCAAAGUCCAUUCAUAACGAGAUUUACAUAUAUUUGAUGAUCAAAUAGGUGUGAACUGCAAGCUGACUUUGAUAUGUAAAGAUGAACAAGUGUCAAAGCCACCUCUUUCAUGCUCACCAAAGUCAUGCGACCAAUUGUGUGCAAAAUUGCAUGAUAAAGGAUGGGGAAAAUGCGAUGAUCGCAAUAAGGAUGUUUGUCAAUGUUUCUAUGUUUGCUAUAAAGACUUUCGGAUUGCCAAAUAAACUCUACCAGCUUGGCUUCUAUUGUUAUUGAUCUUCCUAGUUUAUGACAUGCUUUUUUCGUGUUUGUUUGUUUAAUUAAAUCAUAAUCAAUAUAUGCUCCAUGGUCAUCAUUAUUCUGAUGAACAAUUACGUUAAAUUCAACCUUUAGUAAUUAGUAG
rnacentral:lncRNA from 1 species